CCUACGGGCGGCAGCAGUGAGGAAUAUUGGUCAAUGGACGAGAGUCUGAACCAGCCAAGUAGCGUGAAGGAUGACUGCCCUAUGGGUUGUAAACUUCUUUUAUAUGGGAAUAAAAUGUUCCACGUGUGGGAUUUUGUAUGUACCAUAUGAAUAAGGAUCGGCUAACUCCGUGCCAGCAGCCGCGGUAAUACGGAGGAUCCGAGCGUUAUCCGGAUUUAUUGGGUUUAAAGGGAGCGUAGGUGGAUUGUUAAGUCAGUUGUGAAAGUUUGCGGCUCAACCGUAAAAUUGCAGUUGAAACUGGCAGUCUUGAGUACAGUAGAGGUGGGCGGAAGUCGUGGUGUAGCGGUGAAAUGCUUAGAUAUCACGAAGAACUCCGAUUGCGAAGGCAGUUCACUGGACUGCAACUGACACUGAGGCUCGAAAGUGUGGGUAUCAAACAGGAUUAGAUACCUCGGUAGUC
rnacentral:rRNA from 1 species